rnacentral:misc_RNA from 1 species
GAAAUGCGAUAAGUAGUGUGAAUUGCAGAAUUCAGUGAAUCAUCGAAUCUUUGAACGCACAUUGCGCCCUUUGGUAUUCCUUAGGGCAUGCCUGUUCGAGCGUCAUCUAAACCUUCAAGCCCUGCUUGGCGUUGGGUGCCUGUCCCGCCUCCGCGCGCGGACUCACCUCAAAUCCAUUGGCGGCCCCCGCGUCGGCCACGAGCGCAGCAGAAACGCGAACUCGUGAGCCCGUCCGGGCGGCUCCCAGAAGCUACACCCACCCAGUUUGACCUCGGAUCAGGUAGGGAUACCCGCUGAACUUAAGC